AAGCCUCUGCCCGAAAUUGCCAGCUACAAUCGGACGCAGCGAGUGCACCUUUGCGCAGAGGCUGGUUUUAUACCGAGUGGGUCCUCUGGGUGCACAAAGACAGCGGCUCGCAGAGGAACUUGUUCAGAGCGAACCGGGGACGCUGGGAGGCGAAAUCCACAACCUCCAGAGUCCGAGUCUCAACAACCGUACUGUUUACCUCCUGAAGCCCUUUAUUCUGCUUCAGAUCUCAACAAUACAAGGUGUAAGCUGGUAGUGAACGUGUGGUACACCAGGCCAGUCUUGGGAACAUGGCAAAGGCCCCAAAAUCAGCUGGGAGGAAGACUUCUCACUGUCUCCGCAGACAGGGUGGUGGUCAGACGGACAUGGAGGAACUUAAUUUGGACACUCAGCAUCCACCACAGGGGCAGCCCAAGGGAGGAGAUCAAAUCGUUAUCCAAAAUACUUCUUCAGCUGGAAUUCUGUCGGAAAGCUGGGACCACAAGGAAACUCCGUUGGAGGCCGAGGAAAAGAGCGACACUGCUGCCCAUCCCCAAGCCAAGUCUCUGUGGAAGCCCAUUCCCCCUCUGCUGCCUGAACCCCACAGCAGCACCACCUCAGAGACCAGAGACCAGAGCUGCCAGACCGAGGAGCAGGUUCAGCCCACCACUGCCAACAGUCAUGGUCAUAACACAGGUUUCUGUGUUGAGCCUGGCGAUCCUCCUCUGCUCCAACAGCCUCUGCAGACCUCCAAGUCCGGGAUUCAGCAGAUAAUCGAAUGCUUCCGAUCUGGCACCAACCAGCUCAAAAGUAUGCUUCUGAGGGAGGUAGACACCAUCUUUGAGUGUAAACUGUGUCGCAGUCUGUUCAGAGGCCUCCCAAACCUCAUCACACACAAGGAGUACUACUGCUUAUCACGGCUGCCCGAAUCUGAUGGCUCGUCUGGUGAUGACAGACAGAGUGUAGCCAUGAAGGAUUUACUGGAUGCUAUAUAUCCCAGAGGUGACCGGCCUGACUAUGUGGUCCGACUAGAGCCUAUUCAGACCACCAACAAGGCGGUGUUCCAGUACCUCACCACAGAGGAGGAGCUGGCUAGAUAUUCAUCGCACACAACCAGUGCUAGAGAGAGCCCUGUUGCUUGGGAAAGAGAUACUAUGGAAGGUGUGGAAAACAAUCCAGUCAGUCAGGCAAGUGGAGCUGAGAGCCACAACAGCCCAGCACCGAGGAAACUGGAGGCUGACGAUGAGGCUAAAGAGGAGCAGCCAAAGCCUGAAGAUGAGGGGUCCAAUAGCGGGGUUGAGGAUGUGACCAUCUCCUGUUGUCUCUGUGGCCAAGACUUUAACUCCCGUCGGAGUAUCAGGCGUCACUGCCGCAAAAUGCACCAGACGAAACUCGAGGAGCUCCGAAAGUUCACAGAGACACGCACAGUUCCUACAAGCCUGCUCUCUAUGGUGAAAGGACGACCAAGGACUCUCAGUACUCCAACUGGAAAGUCCUGCCCAGUGUGCCUGAAAACCUUUGCCACCAAAGCCAACGUACGGCGGCACUUUGACGAGGUGCACCGGGGUCUACGGAGGGACACCAUCACACCCAGCAUUGCCUCAAGGCCAGGCCAGCCCUUCUCACUAGAAGUCACACCUCCGAGGAAGAACAGCAAUUCCUCCCCAACACGUGGCCACAACUCCAAGCCCACUGCUGUGAACUCUAAAACCACCACAUCAAACCAAAUCCUAGGGAAACCUCAGAGUCAGCCCCCGGCCUCCUCACAGACAAACUCGGUCUCAUGUCGAUGCACCCUGUGCAAGAGGAACUACAGCUCACAGCUUAUGUUGAAGAGACACAUGCGUAUAGUUCACAAGAUCUACAGUGUCAAAAGUAACAAGUCUGCUGGCACACCAUCCUCUGCUUCAGCUGUAAACACUCCUAACAGCAGCACCCCUAACGUGAGCCUUAGCAACAAUGUAAGAGUGAAGGAGGAAGCAGUGGAACCCUCGGAUGAAGAAGAUGACAUUGACAGCAGCCCUGCUCCAUCUCCCACUGACAACAGCGGGACCACUAAAGAGGUUCCACAAACUGUUCCGAAGGUAAAGGAGGAGGAAACCUCAUCCAGCCCAAAGAUGCCUCCAUCUCUGUCUUCAUCCUCGUCCCGUGGGGGCAACACGUACAGUACAAACAUGGCUGCCAAAAUCAGCAAACUGUCAGUGGGCUUUGACUUCAAGCAGCUCUUCUGCAAACUGUGCAAACGACAGUUCAGCUCACGGCAGAAUUUAACAAAGCACAUUGAACUGCACACAGAUGGCAAUGACAUCUUUAUCAAGUUCUACCGCUGCCCUCUAUGUCGCUAUGAGUCACGCCGCAAACGUGACGUCCUGCGUCAUGUGACAGUUGUCCACAAGAAGUCGUCGGCAUACCUUGCUAAGAUUAUGCCCAAACUAGAGAGCAGAGCUGUGAAGAGGCUGGCAGAGGUGGUCCUGAACACUACAAACAAGAGGCCAGGCAGCAGUGUCAAAGAGGAAAUGAAUGGGCGUCAUGGUUCAUCAUCGUCAUCCUCCUCCUCUUCUCCCUCACCUCCAAUCACCCGCAGACAAGAAGCCUCCACAGCUGCCCCAACUGCCACCUCAGCCUCCUCCUCCGCCCUGCCUCCUGCUCCUGUCACAAGGAAGCAGCAAGAGCUUUCAUCUCCGGUCUUAAGUCCUUCCCCUCCCGUCACCCGCAAGCAGGAGAGGCAACAGCCCCGCCCCAUCAGCCCUCCUCUCACCCGGCGCAGUGAGAAACACUCCCUCUCACGCAAUGCAUCCUCCUCGACCCCAUCCAGCAACCAAACCCCACACACCCGGCGACACGACGUCCAAUCAGAGAGCAGCUCUGUGACGUCAUCCACUGAAGUCAGAGUGACAAAGAAUUUCUCCCUUCAUGCUUGUGACCAGUGUGGGCGGGCGUUCGCUAAGAAGGAUAAGGUUCAGCUGCUGGGAAGAAAGUUUUGGGGAGCCCAAGAAAUUCCAGCAAGUGCCAGGCCUCCCUCCUUUAGAGAACUUGACUAAGGUACUGGGUUGCCACUAGAGCGAAGCUUGCUCAGGAAUGGCAGGAGCUACAUGUGAGUGUUUCUAAAUACCCUAAUACCCUUUUGCAAACUUUAUUUAAUUUGGUAUUCCCUUGUUCAAAUAAACUGAUCUUAACCAUACGUUGAAUUGUCACAUGAUGACUAUUAAAAUAAAGAUUUGUUUUGCUUCCACACCUUUUUCCAACCUUUACAUCUAGUUGUACUUGGAGUCACACAAGCGAAGCCAUCGAAAUGCUACGGUGGGAACAGCCAGCAGGAGGAAAGGAGUUAGCACCCGUUCCAAGUCUCUGGUCUGGUGAAGCGUACAGUACAUACAGAUUGCCACAAAUGAAGGACAGAGAGCCACACACAAUCGGAACACUUAACUGGAAAAAUGAGACUACUAGAGGAAGUACAAGGAGAACUUGGAAACAUGAAGGAAGAAACUAAACAGAGCCUUAUAAAGGAGCAUAGUCGCAUAAGAACUAAAACCAAUGUUGUAAACUGACGUAUGUAGUUUCAUAACGAAGCCAGACAGCCUGCUGCUAUCUACACAGAGACUCCAAUCUGCUGUACAUAUACAUAUCUGUAUUUACUCAUGUAAAUAUUGAGCUAUAUGCAGCCUACAGAUAUUUACUGCUUUGCUUACAUUAUCCUGCGUUUAGCGAGCGGAUGAAGGUAGUCUGCCUGAGUGAGUGGAACAAGGGGAUCAGAAACUGGAUUUUUGGGCUCAGUCGGAUCACAUGUAGAAGAUAUUUUUUGAAUUUUGUUCUUUCAAAAUGAAGAAUAUGACAACAUAAGUUAUCCUCAGCUGAACUAUGCCUGGUUUAUGGAUAUUUCACAAGCAUCUCAAGUCAACUACUUUGAACAUGUUUACAGUCAGACAUUUUUGGGUGAGGAUAAAAAUGUGAAUUUCCAUCCCUCUCAGUUAUUUUCCAAUUGAGUUAACUACUGUUGUUCUCUGCUGCUUUGCAUUACUGAAACAAGUCUAAGUUAACUCUCCUUUAUUUUGAAUUUGUUCUGAUUCAAAAGGUGGCUGUUCUCGCAAAUGGAAACAUCUCAAACCAGUCACUUUGUUUUUCAUUCUAAAACCUUCUUGCCUGAUUGACUCAGAUCUACAAUGAACUGUAACAAGUCCGAAGGAUAAGUCUGUUGUUUCCACAGAUGGUUGGAAACUUUAAAUAAUAUAUGAGAGACAGUUACAGUUAGGCGGAGGGUAAAAAAUUGACAUUUCAAGUUGCAACAGGUCACAGUCUUACUGCUGUACGUCUUUACGACAAUAACUGGGAGAAUUUACUUUCUGACUUCCUUCAUCUUGAGGUUACACCCUUCCAUAGCCCUGUUACACUUUAUCUUACCUUACAUCCUCAGUGCCUAAGAGCUGAUCCAGGUAAGCUAUAGAAAGCAAAACUAUUUCUGUCUGACAGGCCUAUACAAAUCUCUACACUGGAGCGUAUUUACAUUAACUGUCUGAUCUUAGCUGUUACCCUACCAACGUAAUCCAUUUAUUUUUACUAGUUUGUGCAGUUUGCUCAUUAAAAACUUGCUUUGCUUUGUGUGCAGCCAUUGAGCUUGUUAGAGAACAGCUCCUAAAGGUAGUCUUUAAAACACUGGGAAGAGUUUGGAGGAAAUGAAGACCAAGAGGAGAGGAGAGGAAGUGAGGAAGACCAAAUGUAGAUAUGUCUUAAUGUUCAAACUGUAAGCCAUGAAAAAGUACAAAAAGCGGAAAAAGGAAAGUCCAACCUUUUAUUUUUAUAACAAAGGCAUCUGCAGCAAACAUACUGUGUAUUAACUCAUCCUGUGCGGAUGGUAGAAGUAAUAGCUAUAAUAGAUCACAUACCUAUUUACUUAUUUGUCCAGAUGCUUCGAACAUGUUUGAGCUGUGAGCGCUUCAUUCUAAAGGAAGCUUAAGUUGCUCAACUUUUAGCUUUUUUAUUUAUUUUUUUUUCUGUUUUUUGAAACCUAUCAAGACAAAGACCUGACUUUGAACUCAAGAGGGUUUUAGUUCAUGUAUUUUUUUACCCCAAAGUUUCUUACAUCAGAUGUUGUAAUAUGUUAAGCUUUUUCCUCUAGAGGCCACCAGAAGUAGAAAAGCCUUUUCAGAUGUGACCAGAAUGUCAAAAGCCACUAUUUAAUAAAUAAAAACAUACUUCCUAAUGCA